UUACAUUAGCGGGUAAGAUCUGCAAUGUGCCCUGGAUGUUCCCUUCCAUCGGUUGGCCAUAGUCCAGGGAUGAUCGGCAUUGCAGGGUCCGCUUUUUUU
rnacentral:sRNA from 1 species